rnacentral:sRNA from 1 species
AGAAGAACAACAACAACAACAAAAAAA